rnacentral:rRNA from 1 species
GAUGAACGCUGGCGGCGUGCUUAACACAUGCAAGUUGAGCGAAGCGAUUUUAAGGAAGCCUUCGGGUGGAAUUAAGAUUGACUUAGCGGCGGACGGGUGAGUAACGCGUGGGUAACCUGCCUCAUACAGGGGGAUAACAGUUAGAAAUGACUGCUAAUACCGCAUAAGCGCACAGUGUUGCAUAGCACAGUGUGAAAAACUCCGGUGGUAUGAGAUGGACCCGCGUCUGAUUAGGUAGUUGGUGAGGUAACGGCCCACCAAGCCGACGAUCAGUAGCCGACCUGGGGGGGUGACCGGCCACAUUGGGACUGAGACACGGCCCAAACUCCUACGGGAGGCAGCAGUAGGGAAUAUUGGACAAUGGGGGAAACCCCGAUCCAGCGACGCCGCGUGACUGAAGAAGUAUUUCGGUAUGUAAAGGUCUAUCAGCAGGGAAGAAAAUGACGGUGCCUGACUAAGAAGCCCCGGCUAACUACGUGCCAGCCGCCGCCGUAA